rnacentral:rRNA from 1 species
GACGAACGCUGGCGGCGUGCCUAAUACAUGCAAGUUGAGCGCUGAAGGUUGGUACUUGUACCAACUGGAUGAGCAGCGAACGGGUGAGUAACGCGUGGGGAAUCUGCCUUUGAGCGGGGGACAACAUUUGGAAACGAAUGCUAAUACCGCAUAAAAACUUUAAACACAAGUUUUAAGUUUGAAAGAUGCAAUUGCAUCACUCAAAGAUGAUCCCGCGUUGUAUUAGCUAGUUGGUGAGGUAAAGGCUCACCAAGGCGAUGAUACAUAGCCGACCUGAGAGGGUGAUCGGCCACAUUGGGACUGGGACACGGCCCAAACUCCUACGGGAGGCAGCAGUAGGGAAUCUUCGGCAAUGGACGAAAGGCUGACCGAGCAACGCCGCGUGAGUGAAGAAGGUUUUCGGAUCGUAAAACUCUGUUGGUAGAGAAGAACGUUGGUGAGAGUGGAAAGCUCAUAAAGUGACGGUAACUACCCAGAAAGGGACGGCUAACUACGUG